rnacentral:rRNA from 1 species
GAGGUCCAGCCUGCCCAGUGACUGUUCAACGGCCGCGGUAUUCUGACCGUGCAAAGGUAGCGUAAUCACUUGUCUUCUAAAUAAGGACUCGUAUGAAAGGCACCACGAGAGCUAAGCUGUCUCCUCAUUCUAAUCAGUGAACCUAAUCUCCCCGUGAAGAAGCGGGGAUCCAAGUAUAAGACGAGAAGACCCUAUGGAGCUUAAAACAGUUGCAUGUUUUUGGUUGGGGUGACCGCGGAGUAAAACUCAUCCUCCACAGUGAAAAAUAAGUCACAACUUUAAGUAUCAAUAAAUUGACACCAUUGACCCAAUAAAUUGAUCAAUGAACCAAGUUACCCUAGGGAUAACAGCACAAUCCACUUUGAAAGACCCUAUCGACAAGUGGGCUUAUGACCUCGAUGUUGGAUCGGGAUACCCAAGUGGCGCAGCCGCUACUAAAGGU